rnacentral:rRNA from 5 species
AGGGUUCGAUUCUGGCUCAGGAUGAACGCUGGCGGCGUGCUUAACACAUGCAAGUCGAACGGGAUCCAUCAGGCUUUGCUUGGUGGUGAGAGUGGCGAACGGGUGAGUAAUGCGUGACCGACCUGCCCCAUACACCGGAAUAGCUCCUGGAAACGGGUGGUAAUGCCGGAUGCUCCGACUCCUCGCAUGGGGUGUCGGGAAAGAUUUCAUCGGUAUGGGAUGGGGUCGCGUCCUAUCAGGUAGUCGGCGGGGUAACGGCCCACCGAGCCUACGACGGGUAGCCGGCCUGAGAGGGCGACCGGCCACAUUGGGACUGAGAUACGGCCCAGACUCCUACGGGAGGCAGCAGUGGGGAAUAUUGCACAAUGGGCGCAAGCCUGAUGCAGCGACGCCGCGUGCGGGAUGACGGCCUUCGGGUUGUAAACCGCUUUUGAUCGGGAGCAAGCCUUCGGGUGAGUGUACCUUUCGAAUAAGCACCGGCUAACUACGUGCCAGCAGCCGCGGUAAUACGUAGGGUGCAAGCGUUAUCCGGAAUUAUUGGGCGUAAAGGGCUCGUAGGCGGUUCGUCGCGUCCGGUGUGAAAGUCCAUCGCUUAACGGUGGAUCUGCGCCGGGUACGGGCGGGCUGGAGUGCGGUAGGGGAGACUGGAAUUCCCGGUGUAACGGUGGAAUGUGUAGAUAUCGGGAAGAACACCAAUGGCGAAGGCAGGUCUCUGGGCCGUUACUGACGCUGAGGAGCGAAAGCGUGGGGAGCGAACAGGAUUAGAUACCCUGGUAGUCCACGCCGUAAACGGUGGAUGCUGGAUGUGGGGCCCGUUCCACGGGUUCCGUGUCGGAGCUAACGCGUUAAGCAUCCCGCCUGGGGAGUACGGCCGCAAGGCUAAAACUCAAAGAAAUUGACGGGGGCCCGCACAAGCGGCGGAGCAUGCGGAUUAAUUCGAUGCAACGCGAAGAACCUUACCUGGGCUUGACAUGUUCCCGACAGCCGUAGAGAUAUGGCCUCCCUUCGGGGCGGGUUCACAGGUGGUGCAUGGUCGUCGUCAGCUCGUGUCGUGAGAUGUUGGGUUAAGUCCCGCAACGAGCGCAACCCUCGCCCUGUGUUGCCAGCACGUCAUGGUGGGAACUCACGGGGGACCGCCGGGGUCAACUCGGAGGAAGGUGGGGAUGACGUCAGAUCAUCAUGCCCCUUACGUCCAGGGCUUCACGCAUGCUACAAUGGCCGGUACAACGGGAUGCGACACGGCGACGUGGAGCGGAUCCCUGAAAACCGGUCUCAGUUCGGAUUGGAGUCUGCAACCCGACUCCAUGAAGGCGGAGUCGCUAGUAAUCGCGGAUCAGCAACGCCGCGGUGAAUGCGUUCCCGGGCCUUGUACACACCGCCCGUCAAGUCAUGAAAGUGGGUAGCACCCGAAGCCGGUGGCCUAACCCUUUGUGGAUGGAGCCGUCUAAGGUGAGACUCGUGAUUGGGACUAAGUCGUAACAAGGUAGCCGUACCGGAAGGUGCGGCUG